GCCUGAUGGCAAAGGAGCGCAGAUCGAUCUCGGUGACAAACGACUCGUAGGCAUUGGUGACAUAGGCGUGGCGACCGUCGGGCGAAGCGUUGACGUGGAUCGGCGCCAGGCCCGUGGGUACACGCCGCACGAGUUUGCCCGUGUGCGCGUCGACCACGAUCACGAUCCCGUUCCACACGGCGGGUCCGAGGAGCAAGGCGCCGUCGGGCGUCGAGGUCGAAUAGAGCAGCUGGCCCACGCCGAAACCGCGCCACACGUCGACCCACGCCGGCGCGGCCGGGUCGACCGUCGCCAGGGUGUCCCUCCCGCUGGCCAAAAGCAGGGGCUUGUGCGUUUGCGUCGAUGAUGUGCCGUCGGCAAUCGCGGCUCCAUCGACGGCGUCGUUCCUUUUGUCCUUGUCGUUGUCUCGGGCGCAGCCACCACCACCGCCACCACCACCAGAAGACCAGCAGAGGCCGCGGAGCGCUUCGGCGCCGGGCGGAGGCGCGAGCACGGCACCGUCCGACAGGGCCUUGCCCGUGACGACAUCGAUGGCACCGAGGCCCUGGGGUCCGGACAUCAUCCACAAGACGCGACCGUCUGGCGAGGCCACCAAAUGGUGAGCCUGAGCGCAACGGUGAUCGAUCGGCGCGCUCCGGACAGGUCCCGUGCUGCAAGAGGCACCAAUGCCGCCGUCGUCGCCGCCGCCGCCCUUGCAAAUGCCAAAUGUCUUUACGGUAACGAUUCCGGAAUGGGACUGACACGGCGCCGACGCAGAGAGGUCAUAGGCCAGGAUCGAAGGCGACACACCGUUGGUCGGAUCAGCGUGCUCGCAAUUGACAUAGAGCGUCUGUUCGUCGGGCGAGAGUUCGACGCCGUGGGGCGCCCGGUCGGCGGCGGCCAAAGGUGCGCCGGGGGCAAACGUGCGCAGGCGCCGGCGUACCGUCAUGGUCGCCACGUCGAUUUCGGCGACGGUCGCGCCCGGCCGUCCGAGCGGCGAGUCAUAGUCGUGCAGACCAAAGGCCGACACGAAGGCGGUGGCGCCGUCGCGUGUCGCGCGCACCUCGUGGGGCAAUAGGCCCACUUCGACUGAUCCGAGGCACACGCCGUCUGACGCGCGGUAAAAGGACGCCGUGCCGGCCAUCUCUUCAACGACCAAAAGCACCCAAUCGUUGUUGGUGUCUCGAUCCGGACCGGCGGCGGGCGCCAUCAGAGAGCAAAGAGGCGCAGCGCCACUUUCGCGAUCCAUCUUUUUUUUCCCCUUUAACUGGGCCUUUUGCCGGUGCGCUUCCUUUUCUUUCUUUCUUUCUUUUUUCUUCCCCCCUGUCGGCUCAGUGUCUCCUGCUCCUCUGUUUUUUCUCUCCUUUUGCUGUCAGUGCUCUAUCCUAUUUUUUUUUGGUUUCGUCGAUCACAGAGAGAAAGGCCUUGGCGAGGCA
rnacentral:lncRNA from 1 species